rnacentral:rRNA from 1 species
CUAAAAAGUCAGCCGGACUGAUCCUACCAACAACCCCCAGACCCCAAACUAAACCAUUCGCCACAUCAAGUAUUAGAGACAGAAAAAUAAGCCCACCGCGCGACAGCUAAAAGUACCACAAGGGAACACUGAAAGAAAACUGAACACUUUAAGCACAAAACAGCAGGGCCUCCAACCCGUACCUCUUGCAUCAUGGUUUAACAAGCACCCCCAGAUAAAGAGCACUUUAACCUGCCCCCCCGAACCCAGACGAUCUACCCCAGAGCAAUCAAUUAGGAUGCACCCUCCUCUGUGGCAAAAGAGCGGGAAGACUUUGCGGUAGCGGUGAAACGCCAAUCGAGCCUGGCGAUAGCUGGUUGCUCAGUAAACGAAUUUAAGUUCUACUCUAGUCAAACCCCACCGACCACUUACACCCAUGUUCUGCCUAGAAGCUAUACAAUUAGGGGACAGCCUAAUUGUAACCGGACACAACCACAGCUGGAGGAACAGGCACCCUUCUCCUACCCCGUGGGCCCUAAAGCAGCCACCAAGCAGCAUCGCGUCAAAGCGACACACUUAAAAACCCCCCCCACUAACCCUACCCCCACACACACAACCGAGCCACCCUAGUCAAAACUAGGGGCAACACUGUUAAAACUAGUAAUAAGACCCCACUCUCUUCAGCACAUCCUUACACCGGCACGGACUAACCACCGGUAAUUACCAGUCAAAACAAUCCACACCACAUGUCACCCCAACACAGGAGUGCCUUAAAGACCAGGCAAACUGUCACAGAAGGAACUCGGCUAACAUGCCCCACCUGUUUACCAAAAACAUCGCCUUUAGCCUGACAAGUAUUAAAGGUACCGCCUGCCCAGUGAACCCCCUUAAACGGCCGCGGUACUCUAACCGUGCAAAGGUAGCGUAAUCACUUGCCCCCUAAAUAGAGGCUAGUAUGAACGGCUAAAUGAGGGCCUAACUGUCUCCUGCGACAAGCCAAUGAAACUGCUCUCUCAGUACAAAAGCUGAGAUAUCCCCACAAGACGAGAAGACCCUGUGGAGCUUUUAAACACCACACUAAUCCCACCAAACCACCAAUUAGUGCAAACUUUUAGUUGGGGCGACUACGGAGACAAUCAAAACCUCCAUGAAACAGUACCUUCACUACCUAUGGCAUACAGGCCAACGGUACGAGUAACUCAUUGACCCAGCAUCGCUGAACAACGAACCAAGUUACCCCAGGGAUAACAGCGCAAUCCUCCCCAAGAGUCCAUAUCGCCAGGAGGGUUUACGACCUCGAUGUUGGAUCAGGACACCCUGGCGGUGCAGCC